rnacentral:rRNA from 1 species
UACAGAGGUCCCAAGCGUUGUUCGGAUUCACUGGGCGUAAAGGGUGCGUAGGCGGUCGGGUAAGUCUGAUGUGAAAUCUCACAGCUUAACUGUGAAACUGCAUUGGAUACUAUUCGGCUUGAGAGUUGGAGGGGGGACUGGAAUUCCUGGUGUAGCGGUGAAAUGCGCAGAUAUCAGGAGGAACACCGGUGGCGAAGGCGGGUCUCUGGGCCGAUACUGACGCUGAGGAGCGAAAGCGUGGGGAGCGAACAGG